UCUUCAUUGGUCUAGUGGUCAUGAUUUCCGCUUGUCAAGAGUAACACCUCGUCAAGCGCGGGAGACCAGGGUUCGAUUCCCUGAUGGAGAG
rnacentral:tRNA from 1 species